AGACAGACAGACAGACAGACAGACAGACAGACAAGCAGAGAGAAAGAAGACAACAUAAACACUUGCAAACAAUCAUAGUCAGCCUUUGUGGCGAAGGGAGUCAGCUCUGAAAUACCAAACUCGUUCAAUUAGGUGCUUUUCUAAUGGCCAAGGUCAACAUUGAUAGUCAUUGAUGGCUUGCUACUGGCCAUACCAACAUUCUACAUGCUAGAAGAAGGAGAGAGAGUCCUCCAAGAGACACUAUUAUUAUUCGUCAUGUGACCGACAUGGAGACGAAGCCUAAGUGAAAGGAAUUGUUGUACAUUUUAGUGACAAGUGAGAGACUGUGUGGUACUAGCUGGAACUGUUGUAGUAAUGUCAUCAAACUAACGAGACGUGUAGGCUCUUUAAUGUUAGAAAUACGUCAUGAUCAUGUUUUACAACACAAAC